GACGAACGCUGGCGGCGUGCUUAACACAUGCAAGUCGAGCGGUAAGGCCUUUCGGGGUACACGAGCGGCGAACGGGUGAGUAACACGUGGGUGAUCUGCCCUGCACUUCGGGAUAAGCCUGGGAAACUGGGUCUAAUACCGGAUAUGACUUCCUAUCGCAUGGUGGGUGGUGGAAAGAUUUAUCGGUGCAGGAUGGGCCCGCGGCCUAUCAGCUUGUUGGUGGGGUAAUGGCCUACCAAGGCGACGACGGGUAGCCGACCUGAGAGGGUGACCGGCCACACUGGGACUGAGACACGGCCCAGACUCCUACGGGAGGCAGCAGUGGGGAAUAUUGCACAAUGGGCGAAAGCCUGAUGCAGCGACGCCGCGUGAGGGAUGACGGCCUUCGGGUUGUAAACCUCUUUCAGCAGGGACGAAGCGCAAGUGACGGUACCUGCAGAAGAAGCACCGGCUAACUACGUG
rnacentral:rRNA from 1 species